CGUUUUUAAAGUCUUAAAUCCUUAUCCUUUUUGAAAUGCUUGAUGGGUUUUGCUGAAGCUUUUCCUGUAACUUGUAUUAAUAAACUUCCCUCACCCGUAUGCACCUCGAAGAGGAAACUUUGUGUUUCUAUUGCAAAACUCAGCCGAGACAAUGACCCAUUACUUCUUUCUGCCACUGCUUCUGCUUCUCUUCGUUACAGCGAAUCUCUUCGACCAGGCAAAUUAGCCCAUCUCUCCUUUUCAAUCUAUUACGUUCUCUCUAGGAAGUUCUAUCUCAUUUAGACAUUUCAUCGAGCAUUUCAAGGGUCUUAAUGAAUGAUAAUAAUGCAUGAGUAUGGUUGAGUUUUCUUGCUUGAAAGUACGAAAGCAUUUGUCUUUUAUAUAAAAUGGUCCAAUAAAUGGUAACUGUAGGUUCAACGUGCUAAGCUAGCAUUUUAUUGCCACCAUUCAUCGUAGGUUGUUUGAGUUCACUGUUGGGAAAGGAUUGGUGGACAUCAAAUGCUUUUUAACAUCGAGGGAGGAAAAAAGAAACGAGAAAUGUAGUUAUGAUAGGUGAUGAUAUGAUCUGUCGAGAAAAAAGGAGACAGAACAAUAGUAGGCAUUGAUGGAGUGUUUGAUUUAGGAAGGUGUGUAUGUAUCAUAAUUUUCUCUCUCUAUUUAUGUGUGUGUUUGCAUAUAUCACAUCUUGCGAAGCAAAUAAUAAAGCGUUGUUAUUUAGAUGCUUCAUUUUGUCGUCUCACGUGGUGUACAAGAUCAACACGUUUCAUAGUAUCACUUGUUCCCAAGUGCAGAGCCUCUCUUUCUAUACCCAUAUGCUGGUUGUUUUGUCCCUGAUAAUACUCCCGAGGAUGUGAUUCAGGACGUGCAUCCCUACUGUCUUGUAGCCAAGUUCAUUGAUGAUAAGCUGCUUCAUACAGUUAGUCUUAUUGAUGGAAUAAAACAGCUAGUCUUUUUGAUGUCAUGGAUACACGACCAUACAGACUUCAGUGGCCCACUUCGACCAUAAUAUUUGACAUAUCUCCUGAAAUUGUAUUUCAAUUUGCAGCUGAGAAGCUUAAAGGUGACAUUUGUUGAUUUAGUGGAUGAUAAUCCUUUAAGCGUUAUCAUUGUCAAAUAUAAGUAUCAUGGAGCAAAGUUUAUUAUAGGGACAAUAGUGUGAGUCUAAAACCUGGUAAGUACACAUGCAAGCUAGAUGGUCAGGAUUUGGAUUCUCUUAGUCAGGUAAGUAUUUUCAAAUGGUUACAGCAUACGUAGAGAAAGCUAGACACAUAGUACCUCAAUAUGUGAAAUGAAGUAUUUGUCUAUUUCUCUUUCAUUAAGGGAAAAGCUUAGGAGAGAAUCAAAUCCUAUUGGAAACUGUUUUAUAUGGACUUCAUCAUUCUGAUUAAGAGUUCAAAAAAACCAGUUGCUUGGUUGAAAGAGUUGUGCGUCACAAAAGCCUGUAGAUAAGGAUGCAAGAGUUGUUCUUUUAUUUUGUAUUGUGCGUUCACUGAGAUGAAAAUAUCUAAUUGUCUUUUUUUAAAGCUUCAGAUGCUGGGGCUAAGAUGCCCAAAGGUUGCACAUUGUGUCAUAUUCCACUGGAAUCAUCUGACAUGGAGCAGGCUAUGCAAUUUAAGGGCUACAGUGGUAGUAGACCAAGCAUAUGGGUCCUGCAGGGAUUUCCAGUGAUGACACUGGCAAAUUUUGAAGAGGUUUUGUCAAUGAUUAGCAGUUUGGCCAUGAAGGGAUCACUUUUUUGGGGAGAGCUUCCUUCCUGCUUAGCUGAGACAGACACGGAAAUAAAGGCAAAGGGUGGAUAAACUAUUCAUGAGCAAGGGAUUUCGGGUGGAAGUGAUCAACUAUGAAGGGAUUGCAGAGAGUUAUGGUAAAGAUUUUGCAUCGGGACACAAUAAUAGUAUACUGUUUGCUGCAGAACAGUUGUUACAUUCUGAUGAUCAGAUGGAAUCAUGGAGAAGAGAAUUUCAAAGGAUAGAGAAUGAAGGUGACGAAGACGGUUUUGAAGAGUUAUAGGCAAGCAUGUAAGAUUCAUCUCACCCUAAUUAGCCUCAAAGGAUACUUCUAUUGCUACAAGGAUUUGAACUUCGUGGCAUUAUCCUCUUGACAAUUCAUGGUAUGCUUGUAUAUCUUUGAAGGAGUGUGCAGUUAUGAACUAAGUUUAAUAUAGCUUCGCUGAGCUGAUAGAAAUUAUUAAUAAUAAAACACAUUAGCUGGUUGUAUUUGGACAUCAGUAAGCUUCAUCAUAAAUGGAUGAUCUCAAAUGGUUAUAAAGUUAGAA